rnacentral:rRNA from 1 species
AUUGAACGCUGGCGGCAGGCCUAACACAUGCAAGUCGAGCGGAUGAAGGGAGCUUGCUCCUGGAUUCAGCGGCGGACGGGUGAGUAAUGCCUAGGAAUCUGCCUGGUAGUGGGGGAUAACGUCCGGAAACGGGCGCUAAUACCGCAUACGUCCUGAGGGAGAAAGUGGGGGAUCUUCGGACCUCACGCUAUCAGAUGAGCCUAGGUCGGAUUAGCUAGUUGGUGGGGUAAAGGCCUACCAAGGCGACGAUCCGUAACUGGUCUGAGAGGAUGAUCAGUCACACUGGAACUGAGACACGGUCCAGACUCCUACGGGAGGCAGCAGUGGGGAAUAUUGGACAACGGGCGAAAGCCUGAUCCAGCCAUGCCGCGUGGGUGAAGAAGGUCUUCGGAUUGUAAAGCACUUUAAGUUGGGAGGAAGGGCAGUAAGUUAAUACCUUGCUGUUUUGACGUUACCAACAGAAUAAGCACCGGCUAACUUCGUG